rnacentral:tRNA from 3 species
CGGGGCAUAGCUCAGCCUGGUCAGAGCGUCUGUCUUGGGCACAGAAGGUCGUGGGUUCGAAUCCCGCUGCCCCGA